rnacentral:rRNA from 1 species
GACGAACGCUGGCGGCGUGCUUAGCACAUGCCAGUCGAACGGAAAGGCCCUGCUUUUGUGGGGUGCUCGAGUGGCGAACGGGUGAGUAACACGUGAGUAACCUGCCCUUGACUUUGGGAUAACUUCAGGAAACUGGGGCUAAUACCGGAUAGGAGCUCCUGCUGCAUGGUGGGGGUUGGAAAGUUUCGGCGGUUGGGGAUGGACUCGCGGCUUAUCAGCUUGUUGGUGGGGUAGUGGCUUACCAAGGCUUUGACGGGUAGCCGGCCUGAGAGGGUGACCGGCCACAUUGGGACUGAGAUACGGCCCAGACUCCUACGGGAGGCAGCAGUGGGGAAUAUUGCACAAUGGGCGGAAGCCUGAUGCAGCAACGCCGCGUGCGGGAUGACGGCCUUCGGGUUGUAGACCGCUUUCGCCUGUGACGAAGCGUGAGUGACGGUAAUGGGUAAAGAAGCACCGGCUAACUACGUG